rnacentral:rRNA from 1 species
AACGAACGCUGGCGGCGUGCUUAACACAUGCAAGUCGAACGCGAAAGGGACUUCGGUCCUGAGUAAAGUGGCGCUCGGGUGAGUAACGCGUGGAUAAUCUACCCAAUGGACUGGGAUAACAUCUCGAAAGGGGUGCUAAUACCGGAUAAGACCACGGAGUCUUUGGAUUCUGCGGUAAAAGGUGGGGACCUUCGGGCCUGCCGGCAUUGGAUGAGUCCGCGUACCAUUAGCUAGUUGGUGGGGUAAGAGCCUACCAAGGCAACGAUGGUUAGAUGGUCUGAGAGGAUGAUCAGCCACACUGGAACUGAGACACGGUCCAGACUCCUACGGGAGGCAGCAGUGGGGAAUUUUGCGCAAUGGGGGAAACCCUGACGCAGCAACGCCGCGUGAGUGAUGAAGGCCUUCGGGUCGUAAAGCUCUGUCAGAGGGAAAGAAGUGUAUUGUGGUUAAUACCCAUGAUACUUGACGGUACCCUCAAAGGAAGCACCGGCUAACUCCGUGCCAGCCGCCGCAGUAA